UGAACCCUGAAGGCAUCUGUGUCCGGAUUCGGGAACAAAUGCUGAAAAUUCCAGCCAAUCGUGCUUUUCUAAAUGUGACCUACGUGUGACGUGAAUGCGUUGGACUCAGAACAACGGCCAUGAUUGGCUGAAUAGUCCACUGCGCCCGCCCAUGAUUGAUGAAAAGAAAAAAAGAAAAGAAGAAGAAGCAGAGCCCGACAUUGUGGGGCUGCAGAUGUUGAUAAAUCCAUUCCGUACUGACGCCACAAAGCUGCGAGUGUCUGUUAGACGCUAUUCAACACAUCAACAGACUUGUUAUUUUGGUUAUGACGAGUGUACGAUAAUUUCCCUCAAAAUACGAUAAUUUUAUGUCUCUAGUACGAUAAUCCUACAUUUCUCACCUGGCAACACUGCAAUGAACUGCUUGGUUGAGAAACUCGUUUUGGAGUUUUUCCUUGAAGUUAAUACGCGUCCAUAAAAAAGAAUUAGAUUUGAGUUAGCGCUACAUAAAGUCGCUGGAUAGAAACAAGUUAACAAGAACCGUUAACUGGGCAAAAUCCUAAAUAUUAAUUAUGUUAGGAUAAGCAUCUUCACGAACUGUAACCACAAUCCUCUUUAAAUCGUAGGGAAAUGUUUAGUCUUUCUUUCCUGUCUCGAAUCCAUAUGACCGAACAUGGAUAUGUUGGACACUAACAGCUGCCGAGCAGAUACAACAAGCCGACCUUCAAGAGAAACCCUGAAGGAAGAGUUAAAGCGUGGAACCAUGCUGUGACUGAUUGUCGGUGGAGUGCGACGUGUUUUUAACUGGGUAGCCUCCUGCUGUUGCUCCUCUGGGAAGGAUGGGACAGUUUCAGACUGCCGGUGUAAAGACAGUGUGGACGGUCAACAGUGAUGCAAAACCCUCCUAUCAGACUCCUCCAUAAUGGACUCCACUGUAUCUACUGCUGUUAGGUUAAUUCAUGUUUACCCCUGCUUUACUUAAACACUGGCUUGUACUGAACUUGUUACAAUGACGACUUGUCCAAAAAGUCCUUUUGAGGAAGCUGGACAAUAUCUGACAGCUGACAGGUAUAAAGCACUCAAUCCACAAUAACCUUAGUACAUAUGGUAAAAAUGUAACUUUUGAAGCCCAAUAUGCUGACUCAUAAACUGAUGAAAAUGCUGCGGAUCCUUUUAUUGUCUCGUUAAUGGCGCCUUUGUAACAGUUUCUCAGAGCAUCAUGUUUCCGGUCAUAUAACUGACUUUUCCUGGUUGUUUUGUCGCCAUCGUGUGGAUGUAAUAAGUAACUAUAGGUGGUAUGCCAAAAAAAAAAAAUAGCAGAGGAAGAGUGCAGCGAAGUGGAACCAGAGAAUCCAGCCAUCGAUAACUUUAGAUGGCCGGAUUAAAUACAUAAUGCACAUCCCUUGUCAUUCGCAUCAUGAUUUUUUUUUUUAAGUUGACUCAAUAAAUAAUUUCUAUUUUCUGCUAUUUAAAUUAGCAUUCGUUUUAACUCAUGGAGGCUGGCUGGGCAGCUGAGAGUGGAGUUGAUGAAUCCCAGACUUAUCAAACUUUGUUCAGAAGCUGUUAUAAAUCCUAUUUUUCCUCAUCAGAUAGUAGAACGUUCUUCAUCUGUAAAAUGACUUAGUUUGAUAUAAAUGCGCAGCUUUCCAAAACCGUUAAGCUAUUUUUUACUGGGGUUUAUGUGACAAGGUGGGAGAAACCUAAGAGAUU